rnacentral:lncRNA from 1 species
AUAGUACUCCAGCAAAAGCAGCUGAACUUGUAACAGUCACCAGCUGGCACACAUUGAAAUAGCUCAGCCUCAUUCUCCAGCUGAGAUCCAGCACAGCUGAUCUUGGUGUAGGGCAUAAAUCUGCAUAGAGCUCACAUGUGGCCCUUCUAUGCUGGGGGUAGAUGUACUCGAUCCUCUGGGCUUGGGAAGGUCUUGGCAAAUGUGGAUUUUUCUCCUUUUGCAGAGGCUUUUGGAGGUUCUGAAAAACCAGACAACAUCAGCUGCUGCACCUUUUGCCCCCUACAGGACACAGACACUGUCCAGGGCAAAGUGCAGCUGGAGCCUAGAGAAGGAUGCGCCUUCACCAGGGCAUUUACCAGCGCUGCUCAGAGCUUCAGCAAGACGGAAAAGCCCCCUGCAAAGCAAACCAAGGGCUGCCGUGGAGAAGAGAGAAGCAGCGGAAACCCUACAUGCACAUACCUUGAAGAAUCAGGAGGCAAUUGGAUGUGCCCGUGAAAGGUCCCCAUGAUCUUGGCGGAGGAUGAACUGGCAGUCACUGACAGCUGAGGAGCAAGACCUUCCUAGCAGAAGCAGCAACCACCUCUGCCCUUGAAUGCCCAGCCCAGAAUAUAUUUAUCCUCCUGGCACAUUUGGUCCUUGGCUUCUCGACUGUGCUGAUUGCCACACAGUGUUGGCAUGUCAAGAACAAAACCGUUUGGAGAUGUGCAAGAACUAGAGCACAAGAACCCUUCCCAUUGCCAGGUCCUGGGGACAGUUCCUAGAUCUGGCACCUGAAUCUCAGCAGUGAGAUGUGACUUGCUUCUCUGUGCUUCUUUUAAUGACACAAGAUUUUUUUUUCCUUAAAUUUGACAAUGGUCAUUGGGAGCCCACCAGUAGCAUCAUGUGUUCCAAGCUUGCUCCAGGCAUGAAAAGGAAAGGAGAUCUUUGGGUCAAGAAAACCUGUGUGUUCUCUCUGAGGACUAUGAAUCACCCACACACAGCAGGGAUGUUGGUUCAAGUUAAGCAUCUGCCCAACAUCUUGGCUGGGUUUAGGUCACAUUUCUGAUGAACAGUUUAUUUCAUGAAUUCCACUCUGUCAAUUGACCAUUAACAAAGGGCACAUAUAUUCAGAUACAAAUAUAAAUAUAUUUUAAGAUUUGUAUAAAUGAGCGCAUACCCCCAAAUAUUCAUUAUUUAAAAGCAUUUACUAAUGUAUUUUCAGAUUAAUUCCUGGUAUUUGGAUCACUGCCAGUAUUAAUACUGGGCUGCCUUUAAGUUUAAUAGUAGUAUUAUAUUUUAAAAUAUAUGUUCACUGAAGCUGAUUUGAUGUUUUUUUAAUGUUGAGAUUUCUUUACAAUUGCUUUAAAAAUGACCUUUUGACCAAAGAGAAAAAGCUAGAAUAAUUUUUCCUUUCAUUUUUGGGCAACUCUACGAUGUCUAAAUGAGAAAAAAGACCUGAAACUCCCCAAAACUAAAAUCUUUCAGUAUAUAUAUUUUUCCUUGUUUUCAGCAAAAA